GAUGAACGCUGGCGGCGUGCCUAACACAUGCAAGUCGAACGGAAAGGCCCUGUUUUUGUGGGGUGACCGAGUGGCGAAUGGGUGAGUAACAUGCGAGUAACCUGCUCUAGACUUUGGGAUAAGAUAAGGUAAGUGGGGUUACUACCGGAUAGGAGCCCCCGCAGCAUGGUGGGGGUAGGAUAGUUUCGGCGGUGGGGGAUGGAUUCGCGGCUUAUCAGCUUGUUGGUGGGGCAGUGGCUUACCAAGGCUUUGACGGGUAGCCGGCCUGAGAGGGUGACCGGCCACAUGAGGACUGAGAUACGGCCCAGAGUCGUACGGGAGACAGCAGUGGGGAAUAUUGCACAAUGGGCCGAAGCCGGAUGCAGCAACGCCGCGUUCGGGAUGACGGCCUGCGGGUUGUAAACCGCUUUCGCCUGUGACGAAGCGUGAUUGACGGUAAUGUAUAAAUAAGCACCGGCUAACUACGUG
rnacentral:rRNA from 1 species